AGGGGGUGCCUGUCUCCUGUGUUGGAAGCGCAGCCCUCACGAUGGCAAAGAUGAUGUGGAACGGCAGCUUUGCUUACUUGUCUACAGUGUGUGAAUAAUCGUCCAUUCUUCUCUAAUGCAUUUUGGGACUCGAACACGUGAUCGUUAGCAGUAUUUAUUAUGAAGGGUUUUCACAGUCAUUCAGUGUUCUGUCCGUGCACACAGUCUAUUUGGAUCACAGAUGGCUUCCCUGCCAACCCGGCCUGAUGCGUGGACACCUCCCACCUGUCUCCUCAGGCAGGUGUACUUGAUGGUUUGUUCUGUCUCCAGUGGCUUCCCCUCUCCUCACCCCCACCCCACCCCUCCUCAGCCCCGGCCAGUGCACACCUCCCCAGCUUCCCUCUCGGAACUCGGAAGUCACACCCGCCCUUACCUGUGUGGUGACCAGAGUCCUGUGUGCCAUGGAGCCCCAGACAGAGGGUGUGAGAUGUGCUGAACUUACUUGGGAUGAAUUGUGUUGAAAACCGGAGUGUUUAUGGUGUGGCCUGAGGAAACACGUUAAAAAUGGCAACAGCAAGAGAAUGAGAGUUUUCACAAAGGCAGCAGCUAGUCACCCCAAGAGGCUCAUAGGAAACCAGAUGAUUCCCCUUGCAUUGCUGAAAGAAUGUUCUUUUUAUCUAGUAAAUAAUGUGGGUCCCUGUAGGUUGAGGCUGUAGUUACAUAUAAGAUCAGUGUCUAACUAGCUCAAUGCAGUGAUGCUGUCCGGAAACUUGA